rnacentral:rRNA from 1 species
CCUACGGGGUGCAGCAGUCGAGAAUCAUUCACAAUGGGGGAAACCCUGAUGGUGCGACGCCGCGUGGGGGAAUGAAGGUCUUCGGAUUGUAAACCCCUGUCAUGUGGGAGUAAAUUAAAAAGAUAGUACCACAAGAGGAAGAGACGGCUAACUCUGUGCCAGCAGCCGCGGUAAUACAGAGGUCUCAAGCGUUGUUCGGAAUCACUGGGCGUAAAGCGUGCGUAGGCUGUUUCGUAAGUCGUGUGUGAAAGGGGCGGGCUCAACCCGCGGACGGCACAUGAUACUGCGAGACUAGAGUAAUGGAGGGGGAACCGGAAUGCUCGGUGUAGCAGUGAAAUGCGUAGAUAUCGAGAGGAACACUCGUGGUGAAGGCGGGUUCCUGGACAUUAACUGACGCUGAGGCACGAAGGCCAGGGGAGCGAAAGGGAUUAGAUACCCGAGUAGUC